rnacentral:misc_RNA from 1 species
AAAGUCGUAACAAGGUCUCCGUAGGUGAACCUGCGGAGGGAUCAUUAACACGUGAACAACACGUUUACAUACCAAACAACCGUGAACUAGAAACAACUCCCUUUGCAUAAGGACGAACGUGGAACCAGGGUGGAGUGAGGGACACGGGACUAAGCUGUAAUGGCUGACACACCCCCCUUCUCUGUGAAGCGUUCUAGGGACUCUCGAGGUCUCAAUCCUUUGUGAAGUGUCAUUGCGACCACCUGGCAGACUGCAUUUCAGUCUCCUUCGGGAGGCUGACCUAAGCAGCAUCUGUCGAAUUCUUUCACAACAUUUUUAACCCCUUUAACAACAUACUAAUAUACUGAACCUUUUUUUUUCCAAUGUCAUCCUCGGAUGUCAUAGAAAAAAGAUAUACGUAAUGCUGAACAACUCUUAGCAAUGGAUAUCUUGGUUCUC